rnacentral:rRNA from 1 species
GUAGGGUGUGAAAUCCCUCGGCUCAACCGAGGAACUGCGCUCUAAACUACCGUGCUUGAGGGAGAUAGAGGUGAGCGGAACUUAGGGUGGAGCGGUGAAAUGCGUUGAUAUCCUAAGGAACACCGGUGGCGAAAGCGGCUCACUGGAUCUUUUCUGACGCUGAGGCACGAAAGCUAGGGUAGCGAACGGG